GACCUGAUAGUGAAGGUUACCGCGCCCGCUCCUCUUGCUUGAGAGCACUGCGUGUAAACUCCGCGGGAUUUCCUGGUUCGAAUCCAGGUCAGGACA